AAGAAAUUUUGAUGGACGAUAAAUUGUCCCAGACAUUAUCGGGAUAAACGAUAAUAUUGUUGCUUUGAGACCAUUUUCAGGCAAUAGAGAAGUAAUGGCAAGAACACACUCUCAAAGAUUAAUACACUUUAAAUUCUAAUGAACUUUUAAUCACAGGAAGUGG